UACGUAGGGUGCAAGCGUUGUCCGGAAUUAUUGGGCGUAAAGAGCUCGUAGGCGGUUUGUCGCGUCUGCUGUGAAAACUCGGGGCUUAACCCCGGGCCUGCAGUGGGUACGGGCAGACUAGAGUGCGGUAGGGGAGACUGGAAUUCCUGGUGUAGCGGUGAAAUGCGCAGAUAUCAGGAGGAACACCGGUGGCGAAGGCGGGUCUCUGGGCCGGUCCUGACGCUGAGACGCGAAGGCGUGGGGAGCGAACGGG
rnacentral:rRNA from 1 species